AGCAGCCGCGGUAAUUCCGGCUCCAAUAGCGUAUAUUUAAGUUGUUGCAGUUAAAAAGCUCGUAGUUGAAUUUCGGGAUCAGUACGCUGGUCAUGCCUUUGGUAUGCACUGGUGUCACUGGUUUCUCCCUUCUGAAGAACCGUGAUGUCAUUAAUUUGGUGUCGCGGGGAAUCAGGACUGUUACUUUGAAAAAAUUAGAGUGUUUAAAGCAGGCUCACGCUUGAAUACAUUAGCAUGGAAUAAUGAAAUAGGACGUUUGACCCUAUUUUGUUGGUUUCUAGGAUCGACGUAAUGAUUAAUAGGGAUAGUUGGGGGCAUUAGUAUUCAAUUGUCAGAGGUGAAAUUCUUGGAUUUAUUGAAGACUAACUACUGCGAAAGCAUUUGCCAAGGAUGUUUUCAUUAAUCAAGAACGAAAGUUAGGGGAUCGAAGACGAUCAGAUACCGUCGUAGUCUUAACCAUAAACUAUGCCGACUAGGGAUCGGAUGAUGUUAAUUUUAUAAUGACUC
rnacentral:rRNA from 1 species